AGGAAAAGCUGAGCUUGCUCAAUCAUUCCAUCAGCUCGAUCAUGUACAAUACAUGAUCAGUGACAGAGGCACCAUCCCGUAUUUUGGCGUUGAAGAUGGCACAACUAGUCUUGUGCCUCUCCACAUCAUCGGGUGUGCCAAAGGCAUCCUCCAACACUUGAAGCAUAUCCUUUGGCUGAGCCAUCUCGAAUCUGCGACUGAACUCAUUGCUCAUGGCAGCCAGCAUGAUACAGCGCACC
rnacentral:lncRNA from 1 species